rnacentral:misc_RNA from 1 species
UUAACUAUUUUAAUAGUACUCAGACGACACUAACAUUCAGAGUUUAGGGGUCCUCUGGCAGGCACGCUAGACGCGAAUCUAGGCGCACGAGGCGCGGCCCGCCAAAGCAACAUUCUAUAAUAAUACACAAGGGUGGGGAGAUCUACCCCGAAGGGCAUGAACUCUGUAAUGAUCCUUCCGCAGGUUCACCUACGGAAA